GACGAACGCUGGCGGCGUGCCUAAUACAUGCAAGUUGAGCGAUGAAGAUUGGUGCUUGCACCAAUUUGAAGAGCAGCGAACGGGUGAGUAACGCGUGGGGAAUCUGCCUUUGAGCGGGGGACAACAUUUGGAAACGAAUGCUAAUACCGCAUAACAACUUUAAACAUAAGUUUUAAGUUUGAAAGAUGCAAUUGCAUCACUCAAAGAUGAUCCCGCGUUGUAUUAGCUAGUUGGUGAGGUAAAGGCUCACCAAGGCGAUGAUACAUAGCCGACCUGAGAGGGUGAUCGGCCCCAUUGGGACUGAGACACGGCCCAAACUCCUACGGGAGGCAGCAGUAGGGAAUCUUCGGCGAUGGACGAAAGUCUGACCGAGCAACGCCGCGUGAGUGAAGAAGGUUUUCGGAUCGUAAAACUCUGUUGGUAGAGAAGAACGUUGGUGAGAGUGGAAAGCUCAUCAAGUGACGGUAACUACCCAGAAAGGGACGGCUAACUACGUG
rnacentral:rRNA from 1 species